rnacentral:rRNA from 1 species
GACGAACGCUGGCGGCGUGCCUAAUACAUGCAAGUCGAACGCAGUGGGGACGGGUGAGUAACACGUGGGUAACCUCCCAUCAGAGGGGAUAACACUUGGCAACAGGUGCUAAACCGCUACUGGUGGAUGGACCCGCGGGGCAUUAGCUAGUUGGUGGGGUAACGGCUGACCAAGGCCACGAUGCAUAGCCGACCUGAGAGGGUGACCGGCCACACUGGGACUGAGACACGGCCCAGACUCCUACGGUAGGCAGCAGUGGGGAAUCUUCGGCAAUGGACGAAAGUCUGACCGAGCAACGCCGCGUGAGUGAAGAAGGUUUUCGGAUCGUAAAACUCUGUUGUCGGAGAAGCGGUAUCUAACCAGAAAGCCACGGCUAACUACGUGCCAGCAGCCGCGGUAAUAC